rnacentral:misc_RNA from 1 species
GUUUGAAAUGUGGGGAGAUGGACUCCAAACCAGAUCCUUCACAUUCAUUGAUGAAUGCGUAGAAGGUGUCCUGAGAUUGACAAAAUCAGACUUCUGGGAGCCAGUUAACAUAGGAAGUGACGAAAUGGUGAGCAUGAAUGAAAUGGCCGAAAUGGUACUCAGCUUCGAGGAUAAGAAGCUUCCCAUUGAGCAUAUUCCUGGCCCUGAGGGUGUUCGUGGUCGCAAUUCCGACAACACCCUGAUAAAGGAAAAACUUGGUUGGGCCCCCACAAUGAGACUUAAGGAUGGGCUGAGGAUAACAUACUUCUGG